rnacentral:rRNA from 1 species
UACGUAGGUGGCAAGCGUUGUCCGGAUUUACUGGGCGUAAAGAGCGCGCAGGCGGUCGUUCAAGUCGAGUGUGAAAGCCCCCGGCUCAACUGGGGAGGGUCACGCGAUACUGAUCGACUGGAAGGCAGGAGAGGGUAGUGGAAUUCCCGGUGUAGUGGUGAAAUGCGUAGAUAUCGGGAGGAACACCAGUGGCGAAGGCGACUACCUGGCCUGUUCUUGACGCUGAGGCGCGAAAGCUAAGGGGAGCAAACGGGG